AGAGUUUGACAUGGCUCAGGACGAACGCUGGCGGCGUGCUUCAUACAUGCAAGUCGAACGAGAAAUUACCUUCGGGUAAUGGAAAGUGGCGGACGGGUGAGUAAUAUGUAGAGAAUCUGCCCUAGAGAGAGGGACAACAGAGGGAAACUCCUGCUAAUACCUCAUAUGCGCGUAGCUGAGAUGCUAUUCGUGAAAACUCCGGUGCUCUAGGAUGAGUCUGCAUCUGAUUAGCUAGUUGGCGGUGUAAUGGACCACCAAGGCGACGAUCAGUAGCUGGUUUGAGAGGAUGAUCAGCCACAAUGGGACUGAGACACGGCCCAUACUCC
rnacentral:rRNA from 1 species